rnacentral:rRNA from 1 species
AUACGUAGGGUGCAAGCGUUAAUCGGAAUUACUGGGCGUAAAGCGUGCGCAGGCGGUUUUGUAAGACAGUGGUGAAAUCCCCGGGCUCAAACUGGGAACUGCCAUUGUGACUGCAAGGCUGGAGUGCGGCAGAGGGGGAAGGAAGUCCGCGGGGAGCAGCGGAAUGCGUAGAUAUGCGGAGGAACACCGAUGGCGAAGGCAAUCCCCUGGGCCUGUACUGACGCUCAUGCACGAAAGCGUGGGGAGCAAACAGGAUUAGAUACCCUGGUAGUCCACGCCCUAAACGAUGUCAACUGGUUGUUGGGUCUUCAUUGACUCAGUAACGAAGCUAACGCGUGAAGUUGACCGCCUGGGGAGUACGGCCGCAAGGUUGAAACUCAAAUGAAUUGACGGGG